CUGAGACAAGGUCUUUACAGGGGAUCUGUAUCUGGGGCUCUAGUUGUCCUGGUCUCCGCUGUCUUUCAGGGAUGUAGAGAGGUCCUUUCUAGGUGCUGAUCCACCAUCUGGUCUGGAUACGUACUGGAUCCGGGUGACUGCAAUGCAAUUCUUCUAAUGAUGUAGCAAGUACAUCGGGUGUUAUGGGAGGUGUUCCCAGUUCCGGUUUU